GGGUCAUUACGGCACCGGUGCCCUUUUUUUUUUUUUUUUUUGGUUCGACACUUCGACCUCUCCGGCUCUCCCUCUAGUCCACCUCCUCCCCCACCCUCGAGCCCACCGCAUCUGACUCCUCCGACGGCACCGACGACCCCUCCUGCCUUCCCGACCGCCUCUUCCGCCUCCGCAAACCAGCCCCCUCCCUCCCCUCCCGUCGAUUCGUCACCGAGCUGGUCGCUGCCCGGUCCUGCUCCUUCGUCGACACCCACGAGUACGUCGCCCACGAAGUCGCCGCCGGCCCUUCCCACAGUCCCAUGGCAACGCCGCGUCCUCCUCUACGAGCUUCUCUACGGCCGGAUCCGAAGACUGAGAGGUAUGAAGCCCUAACUCUAGAUCUCCUCCAAGGAUCUGGAUCAUCCCUUGGUCCGUGAUCUUUGCGAAGCCAUGGCGUCUGGGUUCCCCGCUAUGAUAACUCUAGUCCUUCCUAAUUCCUAUUCACCCUUUCCCCUCGCUCCCCAAUCCUUCUGUCUCUCCCUAGGGUUUUGCUCUCUCUCGCAUCUCGGCGGAGGUGACGAUGAGCAACGACAAGCAAGAAGACAGCCUCAAUCUAUCCGAUCUCGGUUCCGCUCUCCCCACUACCACUCCCGGUUUCCUUUCCCCUCCGCUAUUUCCCUCGGAUCUCUCUUUUUUUAUUUCUUUUAAUUUUUUGAUCUCUGUUCCUCUUCUUGGUGUUUGUUGAUGCGUAGAUCUGAGCGCAGAGGACCGGGCCGGCCUUAUUAAUGCUCUGAAGAAAUCUAGGUUUUGUUGAUCUUGCUUCUGUUCUAUCUCGCCGCCGGCUACGCCUCCCUCCCCUCCGUCGCCAGCGCAACUACGAGGACAUUCUCAUGAACUUUAUGGUCGCCAUGGCCAUGGCCGCGGAGGGAAGGGCGGGACCCGUCACCGUGCUGGUGGGGGGCAGGAGGGUCAGAGACUGGGGCGACCCUCGGAACAACGGAAGCAGCAGAGCAGCAGUGACGGCCGUGAUGGUGAUGCAGUGAAAGAGCAAGAGAGGGAAAGAGAGAUCACACGGGUGGGAUUGAGCACCAGAGGAGACCACAGGAAGAGGACCGGGUUGGUCUGAAGGUGGGUUUUUUUUCUUCUGAAACUCAUUUUUUUGUACUUUGAUCAGGGCUUUCUUGCUUCUGUUCUUUGUUUUGAUUUUGUGAUUAGAAAUCUAGAUUUUUUUGUUUCAUAUUUUUUGGAAAAAAAAUUGUAACUUGAUGUGUUCUUGAAACAGAACAAGCUCCGGAGUCUAUGUUUUUCUUCUUCCCAGAUU